rnacentral:rRNA from 1 species
UACGAAGGGGGCUAGCGUUGCUCGGAAUCACUGGGCGUAAAGGGUGCGUAGGCGGUCUCGCAAGUCUGGCGUGAAAGCCCAAGGCUCAGCCUUGGAAGUGCGCUCGAAACGGCGAGACUGGAGUCUUGGAGAGGGUCGUGGAAUUCCCGGUGUAGCGGUGAAAUGCGUAGAGAUCGGGAGGAACACCAGAGGCGAAAGCGGCGACCUGGACAAGUACUGACACUCAACUACGAAAGCGUGGGGAGCAAACAGG